GAUGAACGCUAGCUACAGGCUUAACACAUGCAAGUCGAGGGAAACGAUAGAGAAAGCUUGCUUUUUCUAGGCGUCGACCGGCGCACGGGUGAGUAACGCGUAUCCAACCUGCCCAUCACUUGGGGAUAACCUUGCGAAAGUAAGACUAAUACCCAAUGACGUCUCUAGAAGACAUCUGAAGGAGAUUAAAGAUUUAUCGGUGAUGGAUGGGGAUGCGUCUGAUUAGCUUGUUGGCGGGGUAACGGCCCACCAAGGCGACGAUCAGUAGGGGUUCUGAGAGGAAGGCCCCCCACAUUGGAACUGAGACACGGUCCAAAACUCCUACGGGAGGCAGCAGUGAGGAAUAUUGGUCAAUGGACGAGAGUCUGAACCAGCCAAGUAGCGUGCAGGAUGACGGCCCUAUGGGUUGUAAACUGCUUUUAUAAGGGAUAAAAGUGAGUCUCGUGAGACUUUUUGCAUGUACCUUAUGAAUAAGGACCGGCUAAUUCCGUGCCAGCAGCCGUACGG
rnacentral:rRNA from 1 species